AAGAUUUUAGGAGAUGCUUGGAGAGGCAAGAGUGAGAAACAAAUGAGCAAAACUAUAGAGCAUAUGAAAUCAAUGAGUUGCAAAGACAAGUUGAUGAACAAGUUGUCAUAGCAGUGGCUUUGCAAGAUGAAGAGAACCAAGGUCGCCGCCGUGGUUCACAAGUCGGCCGCCACCGGAAUGUGGACAGACAUAGGCAUUCUC
rnacentral:lncRNA from 1 species